ensembl:lncRNA FTX FTX transcript, XIST regulator
GGGUAAUUAAGGUUGCAAAAUGGCGAGGGGGGAGGUAAGCUGUCUUUGCUUGGCCAUCUUGGGCUAGCAGGCCUUGCAGAGAACUACCUUUUUAGCUGAGUGAAGGGAUCAACCUGAGUUGGAGUUCUCCUAUGCUGUGGCCAGAUCCACUAGAAAUUAACCCAGAAUCUUAGCCUCUCAGUGGCCUAUCGCAUGAAUACCAGCACAGCCCAACUAUGUGUAAGCAGAUCUGUGCAGGAAUGAGAGUCCCAGGGAGAGAAUCCACGUUGUUUCUGAAAGAAAAUGGCUAUAGCUCACUGUUGUUUACUGGAAAUAGUAGGGGGAAGGAAAGAUGGAAGUCCAGGUCCAGUGUCAUAUACUGCCCUGCACCUUACUCACUUCUCUGCCUUUAGGGUGAUGCCACACUCAAUCAGAAACUAUGCUACUGCUGAAGAGGUAUAUUGAGCCCUGCCUGGUUAACCUCCAGUGAGGUUAUUAGAGAAUUGGGAGAGGCUCAAAUCAGCAUCCUGCACCUAGUUAUCAAACCAUUGUGAAGUCUUGAUUCCUGGAUGGCCAGAAAACUUGUCAUUGGUCAAGAGCAACAUUAAGAUCUGCCUGUUACUCAUACUGAUGCUUCCUGCCCAGCAAGUUCAUCAGAGGGCGAGGAUGAAUUACGGUUGCCAUGAAUGUCCUUGUGAGGCAGUUGGGAAGCCUUGGCUGGAUUGUGAAGGAUAUUUGAAAAGUAUUUUAGAGUCCACCAGAUCAUCCAUGUGAGUGACCAUGCAGCAAAAGAAGGAGGGUCCUCUCAGUGAUUAAGGAUUAUGAAGUAUUAAUUCUUCCACUGAUAUCUCAAAAGGUGAUCUGGACAAAGGAACAGGUAUCUCAGCUUCCAAGUUUGCUGGAGCCAUGUUUUCUCUAAUGUCCCCACAGAACAGUGGUUGGUAGGAUGGCGGAGACAUGGACUUCAGAGAGUUCUUGGUAGAAGACUCAAAGAGCCACCUGUCAUGAGACAUCCCACUUCCUUCCCCAGGUUACUUCCAAGACUGAGCAGCCAGGUUUUUGGUAGAUGAGAACAAAUGUUUCUUCCUGAAGCCCUGGGGCUUCAGGUAGGAAGAAGGACUGCUAUACUUGUUCUCACCCUUGGCUUCUGGCUGCUCCAGUUAAACAUGGUUCCCAUUGAUACAGACAUUAGAGUGGGAAAGGACUUCGUUCAUAGACCGAAGACCCUCAAAGGAAAGUCCUUCCAUUUUGGGAAGGGUGACAUUGAUUUCGUUUAGCUGCUUAAGAUAUGUACUUGCUGUUGUCUUGUGAGACAUGACAUCUGAAGCUGAAGAGGAGUCCCUCUCAUUGUUGUCAUUGUCCCACCGGGACUGAAAGUCUCCCAGUUGAGGCAGCAUUUUAGCUUUGAUGUCUACAGGGCAAUCAUGGAUCAGGAAAUUUCUGCAAAUUAGACUUGGAAAACAAGGUCUUGAUCCUUCUUGUCUUUGGACGAAGACUAAUCAUCACUUUUGACUGAAGGUGUAGUGCUGGAGACUAUGUUGGAGGCAGCACCUGAUGCACUAUCCAUAUUCUUCCCCUUGAUCUUGUCUUAAAGUUUUCCAAAUGGAUUCCGAGGCUUGUCUUUGAUGAAAAGGUCAAACAUACUGGCAGUCAUGUUGUUUCUCAUAAGCUGGAUGUCAACCUCAAUUUCUCCUCUUUAUCCUUCUCUCCUGGUUUGGAUUUCAAGGUAUACCACCGCAUCUUCCUGCUCCCCUAGUCUGGGUGCAGGUCCUGCAGGUACACCUCGGCGAAGCCCAAGUACAGUAGCAGCAGCACCUCAAAGGUGGCCUCCUCCUCUGACACUGAGGUGGCAUACUUCUCCUUACCCACCUGAAUCACCGAGUACAUGUUGCUUGUACCGUCAGGCUCUUGGUUCUUGGCCCCUGGCCCUAUGCCUGCAACACUGUCACCUGCACGUGGAUUGGGAACCACAUAGCCCCCGGACCUGCUAAGGCCAUUAAGGACAGGAUGGUGAUGCCUCGGCUGACUGACGUGAGAAGAUUGUCAUGACCCAUGGCCUCUACUGCUGUCCUACCAACAGAAACUUCAUAAUGUUGUGCAGGCGUUACCACUACCUAGUUCCAGAACAUUGCCAUCACCCCCAAAAUAAAUCUUGCAUUCAUUAAGCAGUCACCCCUAUUUUCCCCCAUCCCUGUCAACCACUGAUUUAUGUUCUGUCUCUAUGGAUUCCCCUGUUCCGGAUAAUUCACGUAAAUGGAAUAACACAAUAGAUGCCUUUUAUCAUGGGUUUCUUUCACUUAGGAUGUUUUGUAGGGUAAUCCAUAU